CGGCGGACGGGUGAGUAAUGCCUAGGAAUCUGCCUGGUAGUGGGGGACAAGUUUCGAAGGAACGCUAAUACCGCAUACGUCCUACGGGNGAAAGCAGGGGACCUUCGGGCCUUGCGCUAUCAGAUGAGCCUAGGUCGGAUUAGCUAGUUGGUGAGGUAAUGGCUCACCAAGGCGACGAUCCGUAACUGGUCUGAGAGGAUGAUCAGUCACACUGGAACUGAGACACGGUCCAGACUCCUACGGGAGGCAGCAGUG
rnacentral:rRNA from 1 species